GCCCCAGAACCACAGUGGGCUGUGUGUGUUCAGCGUGACGCCAGCAGGGGGUGCUGUCGGUGCGGGGGAGAGCCAGGACCUGACCGUCAGCUUCCAGCCGGACCACCCGGCAGUCCGCUACGCAGACAGACUGACGGUGGAGCUUUUCAACAAGACUGUAGUGUGUGAGCUGGACCUGAGGGGGGCCUGCGUCUCCAGCACCAUGUACCUCCACGGAGGAGACACUCUGGGCGGACCACCCCAGGACUACCUUCCACAGCCAGGACCCAGGAGUCCCCAACUCCCAGGUCCCAGCACCCCAGUCCUGCUGACCCUGAAGGCAGACCCCCACGCCGACCGGGGCCCCCAGCCCGCCGUCAGGGAGCUCACGGUGGGCUGCAUCCGCCAGGCCCAGCCCCUGAAGAAGAACGGAGAGUUCCACUGGGACGGUCUCACGGCCCUCCAGCAGAGAGGCUUCAGCAUCGAACCCAGCAGGGGGACAGUGGAACCGGGCCACACACGGGUCAUCACUGUCUCAUGGACUCCCCCUAGUGGACACAAGCCUUACGAGGUGGUGCAGGUGGUGCAGGAGAGCGUCUCUCACGCUGAAGGGAGAUGAGACAGAGGUGUAUCGGGUCACCAUGCUGGCCUUGGCAUCCACAUCAGACUCCCCAGAAGCCAAUCAGGAGAGGGGUUAACCACACACUGACCAAUAACAUCAUUGUAGAGGCUGCUCUUCUCUGCUGGAAACUGGUGUUCAGCGUUUGUGUGUGUAUAGACCAUAUUUGACCAGCAGAUGGCGUAGUUGAGCGCAGUGAAAAUAAACUGUACAAGGAAGCUGCUGUUCUGUUCUUAAGGGUUUGUCAGCCACUGUGGAGGCUGGCGGUGCCCGUUGUGCUGCUUCUAGUGAGGUGAUUGUAUUUGUAUACACGUACAAAAGAGAUGUCAGUAAUGCUAGUGAAGGCCAACAGGAUCUGGGAGAGAUACAUGCGGAUGUGAUGAUGGGUGACACCCCCCCCAGAGGCAAAGAACAGUCUCGCCGUUGCAAAGCAACGUGUGCAGACGGGCGAGGGCGUAGCCAUGGCAACCCCCUUUUCCCAUCACUCAGCAGCUCUCUGAGCAGACUCUGAAGAACACGCACACUCUGAGAUGAGUUCAGAUGUAAUCAUGUGUUUCUCAUGUGGAAUGGGUUACUGGUGCAUUUCAAUGUGUUAGUUAUUGUCUUGAUG
ensembl:lncRNA